CGGCUAGCCCUGGAGUCGUAUCUCUAGAAUCUCUUUCUGAUGUUUAACCAUUAGGAUUCAGAACCUAAUGUAUGCGCACCCAACUGUGUUAUUUUAUUUCAUCAAUGAUUCCAGAGAAUUUUACUUUCUAAGGGGAGGUGUUGGGCAUUAAUGAUUGACUUGGUUCAGUCCAUAUCUCUUGUUAAUUAAGCCACAUUGUGCCCAUUUUAUUCAGCCUGUGUGUCUAAAUGCAAACGAUAUAGGCAUAUUAGGUACCUUUAAGUUUUUAUUUUACUCUGUCUAACGCCAUAUUAUUUUACUCGAUAUUACGGAUUUCUAAUUUUUUCAUGGAGAAUAAUUAAGCUUCAAGGACGUUUGCAAAGUGAGGGGGAGUGUCAUUGAAAAUGUUGUAUUGUGCGCGCAUUCUCGUUAAUAGAUUAUUUGUAUGCUACAAUAAUGUACAUAAAGAAACUUGUAUUAAAUUUACCAUGCGAUUAUAACGAAUCAAACCCACAUUCAAUGCCACACUUAUGUCAACAGUUUUGAAUAGUUAUGAUUUGCUGUUAAUUUGGCGAGCAAUGCGUGCUGUUGUGCUGAACGAGAAAUAUACAGAAUCGUUCUAAAAUAUCUGUGCGAGUUGUGUACUUGAAUAAAUAGAAAUUGCUUCGAAGAUAAGACUAAAUCCAUUAUGAAAAGUCAAAGUCACCUGACUCACCAAAAUCAAAGCGCAAUAUCUCACCUAUAUGAAUCUAUGCGUAUAUCUUCGGAAAGUUUGGUAUAUAACGAGAAAUGGGGAUUUUAAUGAAAAAUUGCAUUGUUUUUAUAGCGCAUUUGUGUUAGCCCCAGUGACCUUGAGAUAUUUAAUACUUGCAACCACAAUUAGCCAUGCUGAAAAAUACAGGUAUUGGAACAGUGUGUCAUUUGCACUGUUUCGUAGGGAAAGGAUAAACAUGCAUGAGGAGCUUUUAAAUUUUACUUUCAGGAGUUUUAAAAUCUUACUUUUAGUUAGGUCGAAAUUUUGCUAAAGUUGUUAGCGUUACGGUAGCACGUCCUUGCGAUAGUAACUUCCAGUAGUAUGUUUAAUUAUGUACGGCAACAACAAAUGAACAAAGAUCUAAGAGCUCGAAAACAAAGACAAAGAAAGCUGAGGCCAGGGUCAAACGUCGAACUUUUCAUGCGCCGAACCUAAUGCAAAUGAAGUGAAACAAAGAACUUAGCUCAUUAACAUUAGGUUCGGCGCAUGAAAAGUUCGCCCCUGGCCUGAGACCUCCUAAUUCUAUGAGCCAUAGUAGCUGCAUGCUGCGUCCUAUGAAAUGAAUUAAUAAAUUCGUUUGACAAAUUAAAUAAUUCACCUAAGCAGGUGAAUGUCAGUGAUUUGAGAUUUGUGUAUUUGAAUAUGCAGGGGGUCCCGUGCAUCACACAUACUUCAGGGCAGACGGACUCACGGAG